CACCGCGGUUAUACGAGAGACCCAAGUUAACAGAACCCGGCGUAAAGCGUGAUUAAUAUAACUGUCUGCUAAAGUCGAACGCCCCCUAUGCUGUUAUACGCAACCGGAGGUAAGAAGCCCAUUAACGAAAGUGACUUUAACCCAUAUGAAUUCACGAAAGCUACGAAA
rnacentral:rRNA from 1 species